rnacentral:rRNA from 1 species
UACGUAGGGUGCGAGCGUUAAUCGGAAUUACUGGGCGUAAAGCGUGCGCAGGCGGUUCGUUAUGUCCGAUGUGAAAGCCCCGAGCUCAACUUGGGAAUGGCAUUGGAAACUGGCGGGCUGGAGUGUGGCAGAGGGGGGUGGAAUUCCACGUGUAGCAGUGAAAUGCGUAGAGAUGUGGAGGAACACCGAUGGCGAAGGCAGCCCCCUGGGCCAACACUGACGCUCAGGCACGAAGGCGUGGGGAGCAAACAGG